UUUUUUUUCUUUUUUUUUUUAAGGAAAGGAGAAAAAAACUUCCCCCCAGACUCGGGAACUGUAGAAAAUGGCUGGAGUCCACAGCCAGUGACGAGGGCCAGCAUCAUCCUUGCUAGAGCUGAGCGGGCCGACCUGGCAGCCACCGCCCGCAGGCGCCCCCUGGGCCCUGGCGAGUCCCAGCUGCUGAAAUGAGACGGUCACGGCGAUGUUCCGGGUUAAGCAAAAAAUAAAUAAAUAUAUAUAAAAAAUACAUUUUAUAUCACACUAGAGAAUGUACAAUUCCACGUGGGGCCUGAGUUCCUACUUCUAUGGGGUGGCACUCUGGGGGACAAAAUGUUAUGACCUCAGAUGCCAGCCCAUCACCAUGCCCUACAAGGAAAGAGUCUUCAUUUUUAAAUGCUAACAAGGCCCUAAGACCAAGCAAAUGGCAACAUCGGCCAACAGGUAGGUCGCAUCAUCUCAGAGGAUGCUCUAACUUGGAGGCGCCAGGAACCUGCCAUCUUUUUAUCCAAGAGACAUGCAGGCAGUCGACCCCAGGGGUUCUGAAACGGGGGCAAUUCUGCCUCCCCAGGAGACAGUGGGCAACUGCUGGAGACGUUUCUGAUUGGGAGAGGGGAUGGGGGCGAGUACUACUGGCAUCUGACCCGGAGAAGUCGGGGACCCUCGCUCCUCCAACGCAAAGCCCUCCCACCCCAAACAUCAACCGGGCCCCCACACGGCCUGGCAGCAGCUGGGUCUGAGGGCCAGGACUUCACACGUUUAAUGCUCGGGUUUCCAGGGGCAGGCGGCUGGGGAGGCGGGCAUCCCUUUGCAAAAUGGCCCCUCUGCCGGGCUCAGAAUUGGGAACAGGCUGUGGAGGAAUUCACAACGUGGGGAAAUGACGGUGAUAAUACUGAUGUUAGAAGCACGUUCACUUUGUCACCAGCACGAGGCCUGAGUUUCAAGGGCUGAAAGGUCUGGGGAGCUGCUUCUUAGGUUCUGGGCUAGAAAAAACGGGGUUUCAAAGCUCAGGGCAACGUGAGCUGGCGCUCCCGGGCCGCAGAGGGACACCUCUCAAGGAGGCUUGGCAUGGGGCGAGCCAGCAGCAUGCCCAGCUCCCCAGCCCUGACCACACAGGUUCCGUUCCGGGUGGCGGAGCAGUGGAGGAGCUGCGAUCGGGCCUGCGGGGACAGGAAGGGGACAGGGCAGCGGAUGGAGGAGGCCAAGACAGGAAGAGCUCAGGGAUGAAUGAGACGGCCCCUUUGGCGGAGCCAGGCUGGGAGGCUCCGCAGGAAGGGGUAGGGGGAGGGCACAUGAUAAUUAACUCAGCAAGUUGAUAGUAUUUGCAUAUAAAUGCCUCCACAAAUCACUACAAACAAGCCAGGACAAGUCAGGCCUAUUAGCAUAUACAAGCCAGCCCGGGAAGGCCUCUCUAGGUGGGUCAUUGAGUGGGCUGCUCACUUAGAAGGCCGCCUGCCAGCUUGGGGGGGCGGCGGGGGUGGGGGGGGAAGCACGUGAGGGGAGGGCUGGGGAGGACAGGGACACAGCGUCUAUUUCAGACCCUUUCACUCCUGAACACAGUUGCAGGAUGUCACGAAGAGCUGGCCUGAUUCCCAGCCCCUAAGGGAAGAGCCGGAGAAACGCUGGACCUGUAGUUUCUUUCUUCCAGGGUGCUGGGACACAAAGGGGAGCAGAGGCCACCGGCAGGGACAAAAGAAACACAAAGCGCAGGACGUGCAGCUGGGAACUAACUUCGGUGGAGAGGCGACUGACCCCGCACUGGGAAGACUGGUCUUCUCCUCCGGUUCAUCCCCAUCGUACGUGGGAGCUGUGCCUGGCACCCACGGUACAGAGGAAGGAAGGCAUACGGCUCAGAGAGGUUGCGUGGUGGGUCCACGGCCGCACCGCUCGGCUGGAACAAAGACAGGCCUCACGCUUGUGACCCCAACAGAGGGGUCCGGGCUAAGGCAGAGUGGAGAACAAAAGCCAACUUUCCCAAGAGCAGGCUCAUUUGAUGCAUCUCUGCUUCUCCCUGGAAACAGAGUGUGAACACCAGCACCCCGGUUUCAAGAGUGACUCAUAAAGCGGCACUCUGGAUUCUGUGACUAUCUCACUCCUUCCACUAAUGAGCGAGACCACACCGCCCUCCAAUCAGACACAGAGGAGUCUGCACCAGGACCUCCUUUAUCGGCCAGCAUCAUCUCCCGUGUCUGGACAAACGUCAGAUUCCCCAGGAAGCAAAAAGUAAACUGACGGCCCUUCCCCACAAGGUGUAAAAGGCCUCUGCUCCCCCCAGAGAUGCCUCUACCUCUGGUUUCAUACCUGUUGCAGGAAAAACCAGCUUCAAGCUGCUCUUUGAAAAAGUGGGGGGAGGGGAGAACCCGUGUUAGGUUCACUCCUGCCAUUCUUUUCCUGCCACUACAUUUUAAAAGUAAGGCAGGUGCGCUCAGGUGCUCAGAGCCAGGGACACAGAUGGACCAGCGUCUCUGGACAAUCAUUAUGUAUCAGGUGUAAAAGUGACACCAUUCGAAAACCUGGCAGAGCAGAGGUGGCAUGUGAAAGCAGCUGCUUUUGCAAGGGACAUCAAACUUCUAACACUCACUGAAUGCCCAGGCCUCUUCUUUAAGGUCCAAAAGUUGACCUGGUGCUUCAGCAAGGACGCAGAUGUUCCACGGAGAAAUGCAGUGAUGCUACAAGGGAAGCAAAAACCACUCCCCUCACCAGCCAAAUGUACAUUAAGAACCAAGGCCCUGAGCCAAAGAGCAUUUUAGGAAGAGGGCCUGAAACGGUGGAAGAGGCUUGCACUGUUUCUUGAGCAGUUAAGAAAAGCUGUUUUUUUAAAAAAAGAGGAAAGUUGCUGAAAAGGAGAAAACCAAAGGUGCACAUGUGUCUGCAGUGUAUUUUCACUGGAAAAGACGUCAGGAAAGGUUAUCCAAGAGAGGCUGCUCAGAAACCCUAGGUGUGGAAAGAGAGUAACUGCCUGGCUGCACACAUGCACUUUUUUAUAGGCUUACAGGAGUUUAAAGUCUUCUGAAGAGAGUUGUGUAUCUACUGCAUCGAGACUUCCCCAUGUCACCAGGCACGUAUGUGACUUUGGGGCAGAGGGGGCAGGAUGCGGAGGCCUGAAAUCAAGCAUCCAAAUAAGCCUCACAGUCCUUUCUUCACCCAGCUCAUCCUUAGGCCUCUCUGCUCGAGACGCUCCGUGAAGGAGACAGAGAGCCACCUGUGAACUGGAAUUUUAAUGCGGAAAAGCAGAGCCAAGAACAGAGCCACAACAGGCAACAGUUCUCAUUCAAGAUCUAGUUCAACCAAGAGACUUAGGAGCGGUUUUCUCCAGCUGCAUUCCUGGAUAAAAUGAGGCAAAUCCAGAACCCGGCAAAACUGCUUUUUGCCUACCUCCAAAGAAUGCCCCCCCCCAAAUACUUCAGCACUUCUCUUUAGCUGACUCCCCCAACACACACACACACACACACAGAGGAGGAGGUCUGAGCAGUCACCAACUCCUGCCUCCAGAGGCCCACAAGAGGGGCAAAUUUCACUCCCAGAUCAAAGGUUUGUGGCCGGAAUCACUCUUGGGACGGUGCGUGAAAUCGGCAGCAGAUGAAAAUUCCACUGUCUUUUCACAGCGUCCAAUGGGGCCAGUUUUCCCAGUUCAGAGUCUGCCUACAGAUGACAGAAGAUACUCCAUAAACGCCCAACUGCUGCCCCAAAAGACCCACUUAAAAUUAAAGACAAGAUAAUCAUUUGAGAAAGCCUUUAAGGCCAUUAUGUGAUUAGCAGAAUGGGAGGAGAGAGGCCUGGGGUUUCCCCAUCUUCACAAGGAGCAGCUUGCAUGGGGGGGGGGGGGUCAGUCCCAACCUGCAGCAGCCAGAAGGGGCAGUGGGUGGGAGGGAGCACCUGUUCCACACACCCCGCUUCUCCCUGCCCUGGAAGUCCUGGGCCGACUUCAGGGAGGGAAGAGGAUGGAAAAAAUCUUGGCGGCGGCACAGGUGACCAUACCAAAAUGCAAAGACUGAGCAGCAGAACCACCUGAGAGCCCCCCACCCACCCAGGACGCAAGAGGCCAGCCCAUCAAACCCUCCAUGCAUUAAUCCUCGUGUUGACAAGACCAGACAUUGACCCUCCCGUGGCAAGGGAGAAGGGCUCACCCAAAAGGCAGAUUAAGCACAGGCGUUUAGCUCAGAGGCCCUGCCUGGGCUUCGAACCAACAAAUCACAAGUCCUAUUCUGAAACGAAGCCAACUUCGCCACCUAGCAAACUUUCUAUGUCUCUUUCCCCAUUUUUAUUCAUACCUUAUCCUUACCAAAAAAAAAGAAAAAGAAAGAAAAAAAAAGAAAAGAAAGAAAGGGAAAAAGAAAAAAGAAAAAAAGCAAGAAACUCUAGGAAUUAAGGGUGAAGGAAGAGCAGAAACAUCUAAGGAAAAAUCCCCUUUCGAAGUGACAUAUAGACCAAGCCACCUUCCUCGGGCAAAGAAUUCGCCAGAAACACACUUGCCUUGUUCUCACCAUCUUGUCCCCUGCCCCCAAAAAUGAAAAGCAGAAAAAAAGCAUUCAAGUUGUGGCACUGCUCCUGAAGCUUUAACACAAUGCUGCUGUCAAUUCCCCAGUUCCUGUCCACAUAAGAGUCAUUUACUACGUUGGGAGGAGGAGGGGAGAAGCCCUCCAACAUCUGAUUGUCACUUCGUACAUGUUCAAAGAGAAGAGUCUGGCAACCACCUUUAAAUCAUACAGAAAGGCAAUCUGACAGUUGUUGAUUUUGUAGUUUUCCUCGUUAAUCUGGAUUUUGAGAGUGGCUUGCCAAGGAGCCAAGAUUUCUGCCUGGGUCCCUCCCUUGGGGCAGUUUGACUUAAUCUCAGCUUCUGUGUGUGUGCGUUUCUCAAUCUGAGUGGCCUACGGACUCAGGACACUGCUUUGGACGGAACAGGCACCUUUUAAUAUCCAACUGAGACCAGCUCCUGCGAAGGAAUUCCCUUGCCCGGAUUGCAUGACAACUAGGUCCCCCGUUCCCCCACCACAGUUUCUGACUCAGAACGCCAUCCUCUGACAGCGGUUCUGGGCUAUGCUGUGAUUUCUACCAGCUACCAUUACCAGCAGAUUCUCAUACCAGGACACUGGGAUACCCCUAUGCAGGUCACUGUAAUGGAAUCUGCCUUCCUGUGGUGUUUUUCUGGUAACGCCCCCAUCCUGGUUAAUGACACCAGCCUCGGGAACCAGAGAAGGCCAAGGGGCCCGAGCACUACAGAAAUAGGCCAGGCUAAGAGCAAGCCACCAUUUUCAUAACAAAUGCGAGUAUAAACCACAGCACAUACGGUGCUUCUUGAGGUUAUUAAUGUUGAGCGUCAGGUGCAUUAUCGCUGAAACGCCGGCCAGUGUUGAGAUGGAGCUUGCGAGGUUCUUCAGGGCAAAAUCACCACCACGCUCCAAGACCAAGGGCAAACCCUUCAGGUUAGGAAGCAAGCUCGCAACUCCAAAAAGUGGGUGUAAAGACAACUCGUUUUCUUUCCCUUGGAGCAGUUCCCUACCCUUUCAUAAAAUGUUGCUUAGUCACUUAAAUAUUUACUUUUUCAUAUGAGACGGUUGCAACCCUGCAGUAAAAAUAAUGUCUUAGGUAAAGGGCUGCUUUGAGCCCUGGAGGAGUAUUUCUAGGUUCUCACACUAACACUUCAGAAGCCAAAAAAAAAAAAAAAAAAAAAA
rnacentral:lncRNA from 1 species